GCAUAUCAUNAGCGGGUGGAAAGAACCGAACAGGGAUGCCUUAGUAACUGCGAGUGAAGCGGCAAAAGCUCAAAUUUGAAAUCGGUGUCCAUAAAGUGCAUCGAGUUGUAAUUUGGAGGGACAACUUCGGGGCGAACCACACCGUAAGUUUUUUGGAACAGGACAUCAUAGAGGGUGAGAAUCCCGUGUCUUGGUGUAGGGUCAAACCAUGUGAAGUGUCUCCGACGAGUCGAGUUGUUUGGGAAUGCAGCUCAUAAUGGGUGGUAAAUUUCAUCUAAAGCUAAAUAUUGGCGAGAGACCGAUAGCGCACAAGUAGAGUGAUCGAAAGAUGAAAAGCACUUUGAAAAGAGAGUUAAAAAGUACGUGAAAUUGUUGAAAGGGAAGCGCUUGCGACCAGACUCGAUCUUUGGAGAUCAGCCGGGCUUCUGUUCGGUGCCCUCUCCAUUGAUUGGGCCAGCAUCGGUUCUGACGGUGGGAUAAAAGGAGGAGGAAUGUGGCUCCCCUUGGGGAGUGUUAUAGCCACCUUCACAAUGCUACCAGUUGGGACCGAGGACCGCGCUUCGGCUAGGAUGCUGGUGUAAUGUCCUAAGCGAACCGUCUUGAACACGACAGAGUUCUACUCUAUGCUAGUGUCGGUGAACC
rnacentral:rRNA from 1 species